GUGUCAGCCGCCGCGGUAAUACGAAGGGGGCUAGCGUUGUUCGGAUUUACUGGGCGUAAAGCGCACGUAGGCGGAUCGUUAAGUCGGGGGUGAAAUCCUGGAGCUCAACUCCAGAACUGCCUUCGAUACUGGCGAUCUUGAGUCCGGAAGAGGUGAGUGGAACUCCUAGUGUAGAGGUGGAAUUCGUAGAUAUUAGGAAGAACACCAGUGGCGAAGGCGGCUCACUGGUCCGGUACUGACGCUGAGGUGCGAAAGCGUGGGGAGCAAACAGGAUUAGAAACCCCCGUAGUCC
rnacentral:rRNA from 1 species